UCUCUUAAUUUCUUAAAGAUGGCUUUUACACUAAUAAUUGCCUUUUGCUUUGAAGUCCUGCUUCUGGAUGUAGCAGUGAGGUGCUAGAAAGGGCUGGGGAGAGUGUUUUAUUCAUCAGGAAGCUAAAGGGAGACUUGAGGUGAUGUUUCUGCCACUGAUGAAAUUAAUUUCCUUAUCUAGAAGCUCUUAAAUCAUCCCUGGCAGAGGUGACAUUAUAAAAAUAAUUCUGAAGAACAAAAGUUCUUGCCCUUGGAACACACUGCAUUGCACCAAAUAACUCUGGGAGACAGCAAAGAAAGGAUGAAGAUGAAAGAGGGCGCCAUAUCAAAAUAUCACACUGCAAGCUGUCUCCCCCUGUGACUUCUAUGUCCAUUAGACAAAACUAUUCAAAACUCAGCUGUCAAAGGAAAAAAAACCCCAUGAGCCGUAAGUGGGAGUAUAUUCAAGUCUUAAAAAUGUUU